AUGGAUCCUAGGAGAAGAGCUACAUCAGAUGAUCCAGUUUCGAAGUAUGGGUUCUGGCCAGAUUUAGAGAGGAAAGAUUUACUCCAGUGUACAUUGUGUGGCAAGAUAGUCCAUGCUGGAGUGAGAAGGCUGAAGCAGCACCUUUCUGGGGGUUGUAGUGAUGCAGAUAUGUGUCCCGAGGCAUCUAUGGAGAUUAGGAUAGAGAUGCGCAAAACCUUAAACACUAGAAAGUUUAAAGCUAUGGAGCGAUAUAUUGAUGAGAAGGAUGAAGCUGAAGUUCAAAGGCGCCGUUCUGUCAUAUACAGAAGAUGA
rnacentral:rRNA from 1 species